rnacentral:rRNA from 1 species
GACGAACGCUGGCGGCGUGCCUAAUACAUGCAAGUCGAGCGAGCGGCGGAAGGGUGAGUAAUGUAUGGGGACUGCCCGAUAGAGGGGGAUAACUACUGGAAACGGUGGCUAAUACCGCAUACUAUCGGAUAAUCCAUAUGGGAUUAGCUAGUAGGUGGGGUAAAGGCUCACCUAGGCGACGAUUUCUAGCUGGUCUGAGAGGAUGAUCAGCCACGCUGGGACUGAGACACGGCCCAGACUCCUACGGAGGCAGCAGUGGGGAAUAUUGCACAAUGGACGAAAGCCUGAUGCAGCCAUGCCGCGUGUAUGAAGAAGGCCUUAGGAUUGUAAAGUACUUUCAGCGGGGAGGCGUUACCCGCAGAAGAAGCACCGGCUAACUCCGUGCCAGCAGCCGCGGUAAUAC